CAUCCGUGACUUUACCGGUUUUGGUCUCUUCCUUGUAACCUUUGGCUCCAGGAUGCUGCGCAGUUCCUCUCUGCACUAUCUAUCAGAAUGUUGCUCUGCGUGCUUGAAAGUUUCGCCAAACAGAAGUACACAAGAACAAACAGAGGUGAAACACAAAUCCCCUCAGCCCUGGAGGAAAAGGCCUUGAAGCUCUUCCAGUGCAGAGGCCACGCAGAGGACAUGCUCCUACCUGUGCACAUCAGCCAUGCCUGGGGUGCCUCCUGGAGUCCAGACUGCUGGCGAUGGAAUCCAUCAUGUUGCUGAUGUCACUCGGGUGAUGUGAAGAUAAAUGUGAUAACGUCUACAAAGUCCUCCAGAUUCUCGGGAUGAAAUGUGCUAUGUAAAUGGAACACAGCCCUGUUAUGAUUGAAGUUUAAUGCAGCAGCUCUCAGGCCUAUACAGGGAAUGCAGUCUGGCUGGAAGAUGAUGGAACUGAGGCAUGAUG
rnacentral:lncRNA from 1 species